GAUGAACGCUAGCGACAGGCUUAACACAUGCAAGUCGAGGGGCAGCAUAAAAGUAGCAAUACUUUGGUGGCGAUCGGCGCACGGGUGAGUAACGCGUAUGCAACCUACCUAUCAGAGGGGGAUAACCCGGCGAAAGUCGGACUAAUACCGCAUAAAACAGGGGCACCGCAUGGUGAUAUUUGUAAAAAUUAUUGCUGAUAGAUGGGCAUGCGUUCCAUUAGGUAGUUGGAGAGGUAACGGCUCACCAAGCCUACGAUGGAUAGGGGAACUGAGAGGUUGGUCCCCCAGACUGGUACUGAGACACGGACCAGACUCCUACGGGAGCAGCAGUGAGGAAUAUUGGUCAAUGGGCGCAAGCCUGAACCAGCCAUCCCGCGUGAAGGAAGAAGGCCCUAUGGGUUGUAAACUUCUUUUCCAGGGGUGAAUAAUUCCGAUGUAUCGGGAGAUGACGGUACCUGGGAAUAAGCAUCGGCUAACUCCGUGCCAGCAGCCGCGGUAA
rnacentral:rRNA from 1 species